GCGUGCAGGAUGAAGGCCUUCGGGUUGUAAACUGCUUUUGUACGGAACGAAAAAGCUCCUUCUAAUACAGGGGGCCCAUGACGGUACCGUAAGAAUAAGCACCGGCUAACUACGUGCCAGCAGCCGCGGUAAUACGUAGGGUGCGAGCGUUAAUCGGAAUUACUGGGCGUAAAGCGUGCGCAGGCGGUUAUGUAAGACAGAUGUGAAAUCCCCGGGCUCAACCUGGGAACUGCCUUUGUGACUGCAAGGCUAGAGUACGGCAGAGGGGGAUGGAAUUCCGCGUGUAGCAGUGAAAUGCGU
rnacentral:rRNA from 1 species